rnacentral:rRNA from 1 species
UACGGGGGGGGCAAGCGUUGUUCGGAAUCACUGGGCGUAAAGGGUGCGUAGGCGGUCGGGUAAGUCUGACGUGAAAUCUCCAAGCUCAACUUGGAAAUGGCGUCGGAUACUAUUCGGCUGGAGGAAUGGAGGGGAGACUGGAAUUCUCGGUGUAGCAGUGAAAUGCGUAGAUAUCGAGAGGAACACCAGUGGCGAAGGCGAGUCUCUGGACAUUUCCUGACGCUGAGGCACGAAAGCCAGGGGAGCAAACGGG